GGCUUCCUCGGAUGAUGGGGGCCUGGCUCUGCUUGGGUAAGCCGAGUCACAGUCCCAGGGAACGGGCGCCACCUGCUGGAUCUCCGGUGUGUGACGCUCCCUGUGACAGGCCAGGAACACGGAGGAAGUACCAUCGGGGAGACACUACGACAUGUACCACGUGUUGCCGACGAGGCGAACUCCCCUGAGCCGGCUUCCAGGGUUUUUACCGGAGGUGCAGCUGGAACAUCCUGGAUGAGACACAGGCCGCAUCAGUGGUGCAGCGCAUCAGGCCCUGGCGCACACUCAGGGCUGAAGCAUACAUCCUGCCAAUGCAGUCACUGCUGAACAUGACACAGUACUCUGCGGGGACCCUGGCCACCCCCCACCAGGACCCAGCCUCGAUGGGACUAGGGUGGCAGCAAAGAUGACCUACAGAGGAGCACUGUCUGAGGAUGCCUGGUGGCCACCGGGGUCAUCAUCCUCUGAGACUCAGCAGCGGGUCCCCCUCUUCAAUGACCUCAGCCCAGGAAGAGAGCUGCUCUGUACUUCCCAGGCACCCAAGCAAGCUCCGCUGGCACGUUAGAAUUUUCUAUGGACUCAGCUACUGUUGCCACUAGACUGCGGCGAGGAGCUGUCUUACUCAGAACUGGGCCCCUGCCCCCCUGUCUGUCCAUCAGUAAGUAGACCCCGAGGGUCUGCCCUGGGGUAUAUCAGAAGACAGGCUCACAGCCUCGAGGUGCGUGGCCCGAGAGAUGUCCAAAUACCCACAAACUUAAUAGUGGAUGGCCAGGGGGGUGUCUCCCCGAAGCCCCGGCAUCCCCAGCCACGGGCUUCAUUGGGAUAUGAAGGCAGAAUUCAGUGGCAGCAGGGGCAUCUCCCUCUUAGGGCUGUGCUCUAGAUCCAGCCGGCACCAGCCGAGGAUGCAGUUAUAGGGCCAGGCCUCUGAAGGGUGAUCAGUGUGAGGACCUCCGCUCAAGCCCCAGCCCUGCUACUCAGGAGGUAGGGACCUUGGACGAGUCACCCGACCUGCCCGAGUCUGGUUUGACACCGAGGCAGAGAUAAUAUCCCACAUUCGCAGACCUUUUGCGAUGGGUACUUUAGAGAUCUAAAUGCCUUUCAGGGAUCCCUGGGUGGCGCAGCGGUUUAGCGCC